rnacentral:rRNA from 1 species
GCGUUAUCCGGAUUUAUUGGGUUUAAAGGGUGCGUAGGCGGCCUGUUAAGUCAGGGGUGAAAGACGGUGGCUCAACCAUCGCAGUGCCUUUGAUACUGACAGGCUUGAAUACACUAGAGGUAGGCGGAAUGUGACAAGUAGCGGUGAAAUGCAUAGAUAUGUCACAGAACACCGAUUGCGAAGGCAGCUUACUAUGGUGUCAUUGACGCUGAGGCACGAAAGCGUG